ACUAAAUGUUCAAAACUUACAUCACACCACACCACACCCCCACUGUGUUUUUUUUUUGUCUCCAAUAGCAGGCACCUUACAUUUCAAAUACAUAACUGUCCUAAAUCAAAUACUUUAGAUUAAGGAAAAGAAAAGAAAAAAGGACAUUUGACCACAUUUGAUUUAUUGAAUCGUUUGAGAGAACAAAGGACAAAAUGAAUGAGCAGGAGUCACUUUUUGCAGUCACCCCAUACACAACAUAUUAGCAUUAAAUCAGGAGGCAAUCUUUCUCAAAGUCACAUGCAGCACAUUACCAACCUAAUUCUAAAUAGCUAUCCUCAGUCCUCAUUAAUUUCAUGGGAAAGACUUGGGAUCCAAUUCGGAAAAAUACACAAAUUUAAGAGCGAAGGGGUCUUUUUCAUAACUCGUAUAAUUGGGUGGUUUAUAAUAUCGGGGUGGCUCUUUGGGAGGCUGGUUGGCAGAAGGUUUGCAUUCCGCAGCUGCAGUUGUAGUACAGGGUUGAGGAGUGGUGGUUAUAGGUGAUGCGGUAGGGGUUUUCGGAGGCUGCACUGGGUAUUGUGGAUAAAACUGUUGCAAAUAAAGAGGGUAAUGGCUAUGCUGAGGGAAUAGACUUCCAGGGUACACUAGGGGUUGCGGUUUCUGGGUUAUUGAGGGUGAAUCUGGUGGGGCAGAAGCGGCCAUGGCUGGAGCUGGUUUCAAAGUGGGAGUUGGUUUGCCAUGAUAAUCGGGGUAGUAAUAUGGCCACAUCAUAUGGGGCUGUUUUGGAAAUUGAGGGUUCUGGUUUGGUGCUUGGACAUCUGUAGAAGACUCCUCCGCUGGCUCAACUGUGGGAUAUCCCUUACCAGGAUAAUGGGAAUGAGAGAAGGGAUAUGGCCACAUCAUAUGGGGGUGCUUUGCAAAUUGAGGCUUCUGGUUUGGUGCUUGGACAUCUGUAGAAGAUUCCUCCGCUGGCUCGGCUGUGGGAUAACCCUUGCCAGGAUAAUGGGGAAGGGAGUAGGGAUAUGGCCACAUCACAUGGGGGUGCUUUGGAAAUUGAGGCUUCUGGUUUGGUGCUUGGCCAUCUGUAGAGGACUCCUCCGCUGGCUCAGCUGUGGGAUAACGCUUUCCAGGAUAAUGGGAAUGAGAGUAGGGAUAUGGCCACAUCAUAUGGGGGCGCUUUGGAAAUUGAGGGUUCUGGUUUGGUGCUUGGCCAUCUGUAGAGGACUCCUCCGCUGGCUCAGCUGUGGGAUAACGCUUUCCAGGAUAAUGGGAAUGAGAGUAGGGAUAUGGCCACAUCAUAUGGGGGCGCUUUGGAAAUUGAGGGUUCUGGUUUGGUGCUUGGCCAUCUGAAGAUUCCUCCGCUGGCUCAGCUGUGGGAUAACCCUUGCCAGGAUAAUGGGAAUAGGGAUAUGGCCACAUCAUAUGGGGGUGCUUUGGAAAU
rnacentral:lncRNA from 1 species